rnacentral:lncRNA from 1 species
UUUCGUUUUACCUUUGUGCAUUAUUCUUUUCAAAUGUUCUUUCCUUCAUGAUGUGAUCUAUAAGAAGGCCACGUGUCAAAUGGUGUAAUGUAGAAUUUUGCUAUUCACACUUUUUGUUUCGUGUCAGAAAUGUAGCACACUCAAUUGGUUGUCAGCUAUGUCAACAACUGGAGGCCAGUACAAGAAGAAAUGGAUAGUUCAGGUGUAUCCAAAGAAGCAAGAUACUCUUUAAAGCUAUUGAUUCUAUCAAUGGGUGGUGUAGUAUGUAAUUGAUUGAUUGAGUUAAUUGCCCAGCUCUACUGAAGUCAGUCCCAAGUUUCCAGUUGAUGAUAGAGAGGCAGUGAUGGUUAAAAGCUAUUAGUGACUGUGGUAAAUCUGAAGGCUUUUAACCCUAAAAACAGGGUUUCCAUAACUGCGGUGGGCACAGUACAGAUAACCCAUUGUGUAGCCAUGUGCUUAACAGCAACCAAACAAACAAACUAUUUAUAGAGAUAGUCAUUUCUCUCAUGGUACUUGGGUUGAUUAUUGAGUGAAAAGUCUUCUUGGCACUGAUCUACUGCAUAACAGUUGCAUCAUGACGUCUGAUGUCAAAAGAAAAAGUGGAUUGUGGAAGACUGCCAGUACAGGUUACUAACAAUAAAAGUAUUCAAUACUCUGAACAAUUAUUUCUGAUGUUUUGAAUUACUCCAUGUAGGUUCACCUCUAGUACUGUAUUAGAUACUAACUGGAAACUUUUUUUUUUAUAAUCAUAUGCACAAUCAACAGUUAUGUGUUGCUUAUACAGAUUUAUUGUUAUGACAAGAACUGUUCAAUUAUUUUUAUAAACCUCAAUAAAGUGUUGUUUGAAAUUGUUU